rnacentral:lncRNA from 1 species
GAUACUUACACUUUUGUGUUUUAGAGUUUCUGGAUUUAUUGUUUUCCUUUAGAGAGUGUUGAGGUUCUUUUCGGCAGUCCAUUGCUUCACUUUUGCUUUUAUGUUUUGUUAAGAGUAAGUUUUUUAUAAGUAUUCUGUGUGAUAAAAUGGGAAGUAUGUAUACAGUAUACUGACAUAUACUGUUUGUCUUGAUAAAAAGCUCAUGUGACUGAUUUCUGAGCUAAUCAAGCAUCAUUUUUUCUAUGUAUUCCCUUUAUAAGGUUUGAAAAAAAAAUGACAUCUUCUUAUCCAUUCAUUGUUUGAAUAUAAUACCUUUUGUUUAAGCAUUUACCAGUAAAUGGUCAUUUGAGUUGUUUCCAUUUUUUUUUUUGACACUUUUUGGGUGCCACGAAUCAUGCUGCUAUGAACAUACAAGUACAAGUCUCUGUGGGCACAUUGCUUUUCUUGAGUAGAAACCGGAGUUGAAUUAGCUUAUUCUUGUUAAUAGAGAAAACAGAGGCCCAAUGAGGUCAAGAGCAUUGCUCCUGGUCACCUAACUUAUUUGUAGUAGUUUAAACAAGACUAGACCCUGUUUUUCAUGGCCUCCAUAUUCUCUUUCCAGAGCUAGCACCGCAUUACCACUUUUGGCUUGUGCCAUGGGACAUCUUCCCAUGGAUCCUCAGGUAAAGCAGGCAAACAAAACAAAAAACAAAGCACUCUGCUAUUUAAUGGAAUAAAAUAAAAUGACAUAAAUUGGGGAAAAUAAGCAUGUAAAAAUAUAUACCAGGUAGAUGCAGCAGUAUUAAUAUUAGGCAAAUAGAAUUCAUGGUAAAAGAGCAUUAAAUGUUAUAAAUAUGUUUUAUAUUGAUGAAACUGUCUAGCAGGAAGGCAGUAUAAUCACCAAAAUAUCUACUCAACAACACACUUCAAAAAAUAUAUAAAACAAAACUGCUAGAUAUAAAUAGGUAAAACUAGAAAAUUCACCAUCAUAGUGGAGUUUUUUGAUACAUCAAUUUUAGAAAUGGGCACAUCAAGAACACACACAAAAAUAAUAUUAUAGAAUACUUGAAUAACUACAGUCAUGAUCAAAUAGGAAAUAUAUACAACUUUACAUCUAAUAGAGAAUUUCACAUUCUUACCAGGAUAACUAAGGGAUACAUAUACUAAAAUUAACUGCUUCUAAGAAAGCAAAACAAAGCCCUUCUUGAGCUUAAAGAAAACAAAAUAGCAGC